UACGUAGGCAGCAAACGUUGUUCGGAGUUACUGGGCGUAAAGAGUACGUAGGCGGUUUGCCAAGUUUGGUGUGAAAUCCCCGAGCUCAACUCGGGAACUGCGUCCGAUACUGGCGGGCUUGAAUCCGGGAGAGGGAUGCGGAAUUCCAGGUGUAGCGGUGAAAUGCGUAGAUAUCUGGAGGAACACCGGUGGCGAAGGCGGCAUCCUGGACCGGCAUUGACGCUGAGGCGCGAAAGCUAGGGGAGCAAACGGG
rnacentral:rRNA from 1 species